rnacentral:rRNA from 1 species
UACGUAGGGUGCAAGCGUUAAUCGGAAUUACUGGGCGUAAAGCGCACGUAGGCGGGUUUGUAAGUCGAUUGUGAAAACCCUGGGCUCAACCCGGGAACUGCAGUCGAAACUACAAGUCUUGAAUGCUCGAGAGGAUGGUGGAAUUCCAGGAGUAGAAGUGAAAUUCGUAGAUAUCUGGAGGAACACCGGAGGCGAAAGCGGCCAUCUGGCGAGACAUUGACGCUAAGGUGCGAAAGCGUGGGGAUCAAACAGG